UGCGCCUUGCCAGCCCGCUCAGAAACUUAAAGGAAUUGACGGGGGCCCGCACAAAGCGGAGGAACAUGUGGUUUAAUUCGAUGAUACGCGAGGAACCUUACCUGGGCUAGAACGCAUUCGGAAUCAGGCCGAAAGGCCUGCGCCAGCGAUGGCCGCUUGCGAGGUGCUGCAUGGUUGUCGUCAGCUCGUGCCGUGAGGUGUCGGGUUAAGUCCCAUAACGAGCGCAACCCCUACUGCUAGUUGCCAGCGGGUCAUGCCGGGGACUCUAGCGGAACUGCCAGCGUAAGCUGCGAGGAAGGUGGGGAUGACGUCAAAUCAGCACGGCCCUUACGUCCAGGGCUACACACGUGUUACAAUGGCCGGUACAGAGGGCAGCCACCCCGCGAGGGGGCGCGAAUCCCGAAAGCCGGUCCCAGUUCGGAUCGGAGUCUGCAACCCGACUCCGUGAAGCUGGAUUCGCUAGUAAUCGCGCAUCAGCCACGGCGCGGUGAAUACGUUCCCGGGCCUU
rnacentral:rRNA from 1 species